rnacentral:rRNA from 1 species
UGGGGAAUAUUGGCGCAAUGGGCGGAAGGCCUGACGCAGCAACGCCGCGUGCGGGAUGAGCGGCCUUCGGGCUUGGUUAAAACCGCUUUCAGCAGGGACGAAGCGUGAGUGACGGUACCUGCAGAAGAAGCACCGGCCAACUACGUGCCAGCAGCCGCGGUGAUACGUAGGGUGCGAGCGUUGUCCGGAAUUAUUGGGCGUAAAGAGCUCGUAGGUGGUUGAUCGCGUCGAAAGUGAAAUCUCAGGGCUUAACCCUGAGCGUGCUUUCGAUACGGGUCGACUAGAGGAAGGUAGGGGAGAAUGGAAUUCCUGGUGGAGCGGUGGAAUGCGCAGAUAUCAGGAGGAACACCAGUGGCGAAGGCGGUUCUCUGGACCUUUCCUGACGCUGAGGAGCGAAAGCGUGGGGAGCAAACAGGCUUAGAUACCCUGGUAGUCCACGCCGUAAACGGUGGGUACUAGGUGUGGGGGGACAUUCCACGUUCUCCGUGCCGUAGCUAACGCAUUAAGUACCCCGCCUGGGGAGUACGGCCGCAAGGCUAAAACUCAAAUGAAUUGACGGGGUCAUAGCUGUUUUCCU